rnacentral:rRNA from 1 species
GACGAACGCUGGCGGCGUGCUUAACACAUGCAAGUCGAACGAUGAAGCUAGUGCUUGCUCUGGUGGAUUAGUGGCGAACGGGUGACUAACACGUGAGUCACCUGCCCCGAACUCUGGGAUAACUGCUGGAAACGGUAGCUACUACCGGAUACGACCAAUGAAGGCAUCUUCUGUUGGUGGAAAGAAUUUCGGUUCGGGAUGGACUCGCGGCCUAUCAGCUUGUGGUGAGGUAGCGGCUCACCAAGGCGACGACGGGUAGCCGGCCUGGGAGGGUGAUAGGCCACACUGGGGCGGAGACACGGCCCAGGCGACUACGGGAGGCAACAGUGGGGAAUAUUGCACGAUGAGCGCAAGCCCGCUGCAGCAACGCCGCGUGAGGGACGACGGCCUUCGGGUUGUAAACCUCUUUUAGUAGGGAAGAAGCGAGAGUGACGGUACCUGCAGAAAAAGCACCGGCUAACUACGUGCCAGCCGCCGCGGUAA